rnacentral:rRNA from 1 species
CCCUUAGAUGUUCUGGGCCGCACGCGCGCUACACUGAUGCAUUCAACGAGUUUCUUCCUGGUCCGAGAGGAAUGGGUAACCUUUUGAAAGUGCAUCGUGAUAGGGAUAGACUAUUGCAAUUAUUGGUCUUCAACGAGGAAUUCCCAGUAAGCGCAAGUCAUCAGCUUGCGUUGAUUACGUCCCUGCCCUUUGUACACACCGCCCGUCGCUACUACCGAUUGAAUGGUUUAGUGAGAUCCUUGGAUCGGCCCUGUCGCGGCUGGCAACGGCCGCGUCGGCGCGUCGAGAAGACGAUCAAACUUGAUCAUUUAGAGGAAGUAAAAGUCGUAACA